ensembl:lncRNA
UGAUAACUGUAAUGCAUGAUUCAUGAUUAGACCUUGGGCUGGAAAAACACUAUAAAGGACAUUAUUGGCACAAUUGAUAAAAUUUUGAUUCUGGGCUAUGUUUGCAUGCUGCUGCUGCUGCUAAGUCGCUUCAGUCGUGUCCGACUCUGUGCAACCCCAUAGACGGCAGCCCACCAGGCUCCCCCGUCCCUGGGAUUCUCCAGGCAAGAACACUGGAGUGGGUUGCCAUUUCCUUCUCCAAUGCAUGAAAGUGGAAAGUGAAAGUGAAGUUGCUCAGUCAUGUCAGACCCUCAGCGACCCCAUGGACUGCAGCCUACCAGGCUCCUCCGUCCAUGGGAUUUUCCAGGCUUUAGCAAUACUUCCUGAUGUUCAAGCUGGUUUUAGAAAAGGCAGAGGAACCAGAGAUCAAAUUGCCAACAUCCGCUGGAUCAUGGAAAAAGCGAGAGAGUUCCAGAAAAACAUCUUUUUCUGCUUUAUUGACUAUGCCAAAGCCUUUGACUGUGUGGGUCACAAUAAACUGUGGAAAGUUCGGAAAGAGAUGGGAAUACCAGACCACCUGACCUGCCUCUUGAGAAAUCUGUAUGCAGGUCAGGAAGCAACAGUUAGAACUGGACAUGAAACAACAGACUGGUUCCAAAUAGGAAAAGGAGUACAUCAAGGC